rnacentral:tRNA from 1 species
GUUGUUGCUCAGUGGUAGAGGACUUGUCUAGCAUACAUGAGGCACUGGGUUCAAUCCCCGGAACCACA